CUAACACAUGCAAGUCGAGCGGUAGAGAGAAGCUUGCUUCUCUUGAGAGCGGCGGACGGGUGAGUAAUGCCUAGGAAUCUGCCUGGUAGUGGGGGAUAACGUUCGGAAACGGACGCUAAUACCGCAUACGUCCUACGGGAGAAAGCAGGGGACCUUCGGGCCCUUGCGCUAUCAGAUGAGCCUAGGUCGGAUUAGCUAGUUGGUGAGGUAAUGGCUCACCAAGGCGACGAUCCGUAACUGGUCUGAGAGGAUGAUCAGUCACACUGGAACUGAGACACGGUCCAGACUCCUACGGGAGGCAGCAGUGGGGAAUAUUGGACAAUGGGCGAAAGCCUGAUCCAGCCAUGCCGCGUGUGUGAAGAAGGUCUUCGGAUUGUAAAGCACUUUAAGUUGGGAGGAAGGGCAGUUACCUAAUACGUGAUUGUUUUGACGUUACCGACAGAAUAAGCACCGGCUAACUCUGUGCCAGCAGCCGCGGUAAUACAGAGGGUGCAAGCGUUAAUCGGAAUUACUGGGCGUAAAGCGCGCGUAGGUGGUUUGUUAAGUUGGAUGUGAAAUCCCCGGGCUCAACCUGGGAACUGCAUUCAAAACUGACUGACUAGAGUAUGGUAGAGGGUGGUGGAAUUUCCUGUGUAGCGGUGAAAUGCGUAGAUAUAGGAAGGAACACCAGUGGCGAAGGCGACCACCUGGACUGAUACUGACACUGAGGUGCGAAAGCGUGGGGAGCAAAC
rnacentral:rRNA from 1 species